rnacentral:rRNA from 1 species
ACGAACGCUGGCUGCGUGCUUAACACCUGCAAGUCGAACGAUGACGACCGAGCUUGCUCGGUCUGAUUAGUGGCGAACGGGUGAGUAACACGUGAGCAACCUGCCCUUCACUCUGGGAUAACCUCGGGAAAUCGGGGCUAAUACCGGAUAUGAGCUCCUGUCGCAUGGCGGGUGUUGGAAAGUUUUUCGGUGAAGGAUGGGCUCGCGGCCUAUCAGUUUGUUGGUGAGGUAGUGGCUCACCAAGGCGAUGACGGGUAGCCGGCCUGAGAGGGCGACCGGCCACACUGGGACUGAGACACGGCCCAGACUCCUACGGGAGGCAGCAGUGGGGAAUAUUGCACAAUGGGCGAAAGCCUGAUGCAGCGACGCCGCGUGAGGGAUGACGGCCUUCGGGUUGUAAACCUCUUUCAGCAGGGAAGAAGCGAAAGUGACGGUACCUGCAGAAGAAGCGCCGGCUAACUACGUG